UACGUAGGGAGCAAGCGUUGUCCGGAAUCAUUGGGCGUAAAGCGCGCGUAGGUGGCCUCGUAAGUCCGCUGUAAAAGUCAAAGGCUCAACCUUUGAAAGCCGGUGGAUACUGCGGGGCUAGAGUACGGAAGAGGCGAGUGGAAUUCCUGGUGUAGCGGUGGAAUGCGCAGAUAUCAGGAGGAACACCAAUAGCGAAGGCAGCUCGCUGGGACGUUUACUGACACUGAGGCGCGAAAGCGUGGGGAGCGAACAGG
rnacentral:rRNA from 1 species